rnacentral:rRNA from 1 species
UACGUAGGGUGCAAGCGUUGUCCGGAAUCAUUGGGCGUAAAGCGCGUGUAGGCGGUCCGGUAAGUCCGCUGUGAAAGUCGGGGGCUCAACCCUCGAAUGCCGGUGGAUACUGUCGGGCUAGAGUGCGGAAGAGGCGAGUGGAAUUCCUGGUGUAGCGGUGAAAUGCGCAGAUGUCAGGAGGAACACCUAUUGCGAAGGCAGCUCGCUGGGACGUAACUGACGCUGAGACGCGAAAGCGUGGGGAGCAAACAGG